CCAACAGCCCUGAGCUCUCAGCUGCGUAGGGCGGCAGAUGUCAGAGAGCAAAUUACCUUCGCUGUACGAAAGAUCCCUACCCACAGUGAGCUUAUGCCUUCCUUUCAACACGGGAAAAAAAAAUGCGCGAAUCACGCGGAGAGCUCAAAGGAUGGUUUCUGUAGCCCACAUUUAGCUUCAUUCACUUUGUGCGAUGUCUACACGCUUGCAGGAUUUCACUCUGAAACAUCUAAGCCAAACUGACAGCAGAGAGACACACUUCAAACAUAGGAACAGCAGUUUGGCUUCAAGUGGACUGGAACAAAGCGUCCUUUCCCACCAUGGAACCUAGAAGAAACAUCAUUUGUCAUCGCCCCC
rnacentral:lncRNA from 1 species